rnacentral:rRNA from 1 species
GAUGAACGCUGGCGGCGUGCCUAAUACAUGCAAGUCGAGCGAACGGACUAGAAGCUUGCUUCUCUGAGGUUAGCGGCGGACGGGUGAGUAACACGUGGGUAACCUACCUAUGAGACUGGGAUAACUUUGGGAAACCGUAGCUAAUACCGGAUGAUAUUUUGAACCGCAUGGUUCAAGAGUGAAAGACGGUCUUGCUGUCACUUAUAGAUGGAUCCGCGCUGCAUUAGCUAGUUGGUAAGGUAACGGCUUACCAAGGCAACGAUGCAUAGCCGACCUGAGAGGGUGAUCGGCCACACGGGAACUGAGCAACGGCCCAGCCUCAUACGGGAGGAGGCAGAGGGGAAUCUACGGCAAGGGGCGAAAGCCUAACGGGGCACCGCCGCGUAGGGGAUGAGGUUCUCGGGAUCGUAAAACUCUGUUAUUAGGAAAGAAGAUAUGUGUAGGUAACUGUGCACAUCUUGACGGUACCUACUCAGAAAGGCACGGCUAACUACGUG